AUGCAGUCGAACGGUGACAGGGCUGCUACGGACGCUGACGAGUGGCGAACGGGUGAGUAAUACAUCGGAACGUGCCCAGUCGUGGGGGAUAACUACUCGAAAGAGUAGCUAAUACCGCAUACGAUCUGAGGAUGAAAGCGGGGGACCUUCGGGCCUCGCGCGAUUGGAGCGGCCGAUGGCAGAUUAGGUAGUUGGUGGGAUAAAAGCUUACCAAGCCGACGAUCUGUAGCUGGUCUGAGAGGACGACCAGCCACACUGGGACUGAGACACGGCCCAGACUCCUACGGGAGGCAGCAGUGGGGAAUUUUGGACAAUGGGCGAAAGCCUGAUCCAGCAAUGCCGCGUGCAGGAUGAAGGCCUUCGGGUUGUAAACUGCUUUUGUACGGAACGAAAAAGCUCCUUCUAAUACAGGGGGCCCAUGACGGUACCGUAAGAAUAAGCACCGGCUAACUACGUGCCAGCAGCCGCGGUAAUACGUAGGGUGCGAGCGUUAAUCGGAAUUACUGGGCGUAAAGCGUGCGCAGGCGGUUAUGUAAGACAGAUGUGAAAUCCCCGGGCUCAACCUGGGAACUGCAUUUGUGACUGCAUGGCUAGAGUACGGUAGAGGGGGAUGGAAUUCCGCGUGUAGCAGUGAAAUGCGUACAUAUGCGGAGGAACACCGAUGGCGAAAGGCAAUCCCCUGGACCUGUACUGACGCUCAUGCACGAAAGCGUGGGGAGCAAACAGGAUUAGAUACCCUGUAGUCCACGCCCUAACGAUGUCAACUGGUUGUUGGGAAUUAGUUUUC
rnacentral:rRNA from 1 species